CCNGCCAUGCCGCGUGUGUGAAGAAGGCCUUAGGGUUGUAAAGCACUUUCAGGGGUGAGGAAGGGUGCGCUGUUAAUACCAGCGUACUUUGACGUUAGCCCCAGAAGAAGCACCGGCUAACUCUGUGCCAGCAGCCGCGGUAAUACAGAGGGUGCAAGCGUUAAUCGGAAUUACUGGGCGUAAAGCGCGCGUAGGUGGUUUGUUAAGUCUGAUGUGAAAUCCCAGGGCUCAACCUUGGAAUGGCACCGGAUACUGGCAGGCUAGAGUACGGUAGAGGGGUGUGGAAUUUCCUGUGUAGCGGUGAAAUGCGUAGAUAUAGGAAGGAACAUCAGUGGCGAAGGCGACACCCUGGACUGAUACUGACACUGAGGUGCGAAAGCGUGGGGAGCAAACAGGAUUAGAUACCCNGNUA
rnacentral:rRNA from 1 species